GGUGCUGUAGCUCAAAUGGUAGAGCACUAGCCUUGAGCACUAGCUGAGGGACAGCACUC
rnacentral:tRNA from 1 species